rnacentral:lncRNA from 1 species
CAAUUUUGAAAGCAUUUGAUGAAAAGAAGGACUCUCCAAAUCUUGGAGAGAUGCGAUGCUUCUGCACGCGUGCAAGACUUCCUUCAUUUUUUCAAUUUUUCUCCAUCCUAAAAAUUCUAGAAAAAAUAUAUCUCAUACUUUGAGAUAUGCACCAGAGGAUGGAGGGUGAUAUGGGCUAUCACACAUAUCUUAAUCCCAUGCC